rnacentral:rRNA from 1 species
GAUGAACGCUGGCGGCGCGCCUAACACAUGCAAGUCGAACGAUUAAACCGCCCUUGGGCGGAUAUACAGUGGCGAACGGGUGAGUAACGCGUGACCAACCUUCCCCCCGCAUCGGGACAACCCGGGGAAACCCGGGCUAAUACCGGAUAUGCCGGGUAUGGCGCAUGUCAUACCCAGGAAAGCUUUUGCGGCGGGGGAUGGGGUCGCGUCCCAUCAGGUAGACGGCGGGGUAGUAGCCCACCGUGCCAACGACGGGUAGCCGGGUUGAGAGACCGACCGGCCACAUUGGGACUGAGAUACGGCCCAGACUCCUACGGGAGGCAGCAGUGGGGAAUCUUGCGCAAUGGGGGAAACCCUGACGCAGCGACGCCGCGUGCGGGAUGGGGGCCUUCGGGCCGUGAACCGCUUUCAGCAGGGAAGACAUUAAGGACGGUACCUGCAGAAGAAGCCCCGGCUAACUACGUGCCAGCAGCCGCGGUAAUACGUAGGGGGCGAGCGUUAUCCGGAUUCAUUGGGCGUAAAGCGCGCGCAGGCGGCGCACCAGGCGGGAUCUCGAAACCGGGGGCUCAACCUCCGGGCGGAUCCCGAACCGGUGUGCUCGAGUGCGGUAGAGGAAGUCGGAAUUCCCGGUGUAGCGGUGAAAUGCGCAGAUAUCGGGAAGAACACCGAUGGCGAAGGCAGACUUCUGGGCCGACACUGACGCUCAGGCGCGAAAGCUGGGGGAGCGAACAGG